AUUGAACGCUGGCGGCAGGCCUAACACAUGCAAGUCGAAUGGUAACAGGAAACAGCUUGCUGUUUCGCUGACGAGUGGCGGACGGGUGAGUAAUGUCUGGGAAACUGCCUGAUGGAGGGGGAUAACUACUGGAAACGGUAGCUAAUACCGCAUAACGUCGCAAGACCAAAGAGGGGGACCUUCGGGCCUCUUGCCAUCAGAUGUGCCCAGAUGGGAUUAGCUAGUAGGUGGGGUAACGGCUCACCUAGGCGACGAUCCCUAGCUGGUCUGAGAGGAUGACCAGCCACACUGGAACUGAGACACGGUCCAGACUCCUACGGGAGGCAGCAGUGGGGAAUAUUGCACAAUGGGCGCAAGCCUGAUGCAGCCAUGCCGCGUGUAUGAAGAAGGCCUUCGGGUUGUAAAGUACUUUCAGCGGGGAGGAAGGGAGUAAAGUUAAUACCUUUGCUCAUUGACGUUACCCGCAGAAGAAGCACCGGCUAACUCCGAG
rnacentral:rRNA from 1 species